rnacentral:sRNA from 1 species
UAACAAUCUUUUAAGUGCCAGAUGCCCG